AUAGUUUUGCUGGAAAUUUCGGCCAGCUCUCCCUUGUACUUGGCAUGCACCAUACCCCAAGUCCAUCUUCUCAUCAUCACUUGUAUCAUCAUCCAUCACGGCUCUUCAUGGAUUGACAAAAACAGAAUUAACUUCAGCUCUACCAAGGUUAGCUCCACUAGCUUAAAUAAGUUCUUCAUUCCUAUUUUCAUCAACAUUCAUCCUAGUGCGCAAUUGCACUUGGAUGUCUUGCAAUUGUCGCAUAAUUUCUAUUAUAGAAUUUCGCUACUCUUCAAUUACUCUCCAAAUAGCCAGUAACCCCCAAUCACAGUCACGAGGAUGAUAGCCACCAAUACCACUAGUAUUGGCCAUCGUAAU
rnacentral:misc_RNA from 1 species